rnacentral:rRNA from 1 species
GACGAACGCUGGCGGCGUGCCUAAUACAUGCAAGUAGAACGCUGAAGGAGGAGCUUGCUUCUCUGGAUGAGUUGCGAACGGGUGAGUAACGCGUAGGUAACCUGCCUGGUAGCGGGGGAUAACUAUUGGAAACGAUAGCUAAUACCGCAUAAGAGUAGAUGUUGCAUGACAUUUGCUUAAAAGGUGCAAUUGCAUCACUACCAGAUGGACCUGCGUUGUAUUAGCUAGUUGGUGGGGUAACGGCUCACCAAGGCGACGAUACAUAGCCGACCUGAGAGGGUGAUCGGCCACCCUGGGACUGAGACACGGCCCAGACUCCUACGGGAGGCAGCAGUAGGGAAUCUUCGGCAAUGGGCGGAAGUCUGACCGAGCAACGCCGCGUGAGUGAAGAAGGUUUUCGGAUCGUAAAGCUCUGUUGUAAGAGAAGAACGAGUGUGAGAGUGGAAAGUUCACACUGUGACGGUAGCUUACCAGAAAGGGACGGCUAACUACGUG